GACGAACGCUGGCGGCGUGCCUAAUACAUGCAAGUAGAACGCUGAAGGCGGAGCUUGCUUCUCUGGAUGAGUUGCGAACGGGUGAGUAACGCGUAGGUAACCUGCCUGGUAGCGGGGGAUAACUAUUGGAAACGAUAGCUAAUACCGCAUAAUAGUAGAUGUUGCAUGACAUUUGCUUAAAAGGUGCAAUUGCAUCACUACCAGAUGGACCUGCGUUGUAUUAGCUAGUUGUUGGGGUAACUGCUCCCCAAGGCGACGAUACAUAUCCGACCUGAGAGGGUGAGCGGGCAGUCUGGGAUAGAGACACGGCCAAGGAGACAGCGGGAGGCGGCAGUAGGGACACUUUGGGGAUAGACGGAAGAGUGACCGAGAAACGCCGCAUUAGUGAAGAAAGAUAUCGGAUCGUAAAGAUCUGUUGUAAGAGAAGAACGAGUGUGAGAGUGGAAAGUUCACACUGUGACGGUAUCUUAUCAGAAAGGGACGGCUAACUACGUG
rnacentral:rRNA from 1 species